rnacentral:rRNA from 1 species
GACGCUGGCGGUAGGCCUAACACAUGCAAGUCGAACGGUAACGGACCGCUGGGAUUCCUUCGGGAUGACCUUGGUGCCGACGAGUGGCGGACGGGUGAGUAACACGUAGGAAUCUGCCAAACAGUGGGGGACAACCCGGAGAAAUCCGGGCUAAUACCGCAUACGCCCUACGGGGGAAAGCGGGGGACCUUCGGGCCUCGCGCUGUUUGAGGAGCCUGCGUCGGAUUAGCUUGUUGGUGAGGUAAAGGCUCACCAAGGCGACGAUCCGUAGCUGGUCUGAGAGGAUGAUCAGCCACACUGGGACUGAGACACGGCCCAGACUCCUACGGGAGGCAGCAGUGGGGAAUAUUGCACAAUGGGCGAAAGCCUGAUGCAGCUAUACCGCGUGGGUGAAGAAGGCCUUAGGGUUGUAAAGCCCUUUCAGCAGGGAAGAAAGGUACGGAGUUAAUAACUCCGUAAUUUGACGGUACCUGAAUAAGAAGCACCGGCUAACUCCGUGCCAGCAGCCGCGGUAAUACGGAGGGUGCAAGCGUUAAUCGGAAUUACUGGGCGUAAAGCGCGCGUAGGCGGUCUAGUCAGUCAGAUGUGAAAGCCCCGGGCUCAACCUGGGAAUUGCAUUUGAAACUGCUGGACUAGAGUGUGGUAGAGGGAAGUGGAAUUCCGAGUGUAGCGGUGAAAUGCGUAGAGAUUCGGAGGAACAUCAGUGGCGAAGGCGACUUCCUGGACCAACACUGACGCUGAGGUGCGAAAGCGUGGGGAGCAAACAGUAUUAGAUACCCUGGUAGUCCACGCCGUAAACGAUGUCUACUAGCCGUCGGGGAGCUUGACUCCUUGGUGGCGCAGCUAACGCGAUAAGUAGACCGCCUGGGGAGUACGGCCGCAAGGCU